UAUGGUUUAAACUAUAUAAUAAGUUAUAGGAUUCAUGAUCCUAAUAAAAAUAAUCAUAAUGUUUAUUUCCUU
rnacentral:tRNA from 1 species